UACGAAGGGGGCUAGCGUUGCUCGGAAUCACUGGGCGUAAAGGGUGCGUAGGCGGGUCUUUAAGUCAGGGGUGAAAUCCUGGAGCUCAACUCCAGAACUGCCUUUGAUACUGAGGAUCUUGAGUCCGGGAGAGGUGAGUGGAACUGCGAGUGUAGAGGUGAAAUUCGUAGAUAUUGGGAAGAACACCGGUGGCGAAGGCGGCGCUCUGGACCGAGACUGACGCUGAGGCGCGAAAGCGUGGGGAGCAAACAGG
rnacentral:rRNA from 1 species